UUUUAGCUUGCUUGGACAGUUUCCUCACCACCACCAUCUCCAUUAGUCCAGCAGUCUACUAGUUACGGUUAAGACAGAGCCUAUAAACAACAGUGAGACUGACUACCACAGAAGGCAGCACUGGAUAGCCAUGCAGGCGAAGGUAACAGCACACACAGUUUCAGCCUCUCAUUUCUCCCUUUAAAACAGAGCCUAGGGGCCUCCCGAGUGGCGCAGCGGUAUAAGGCAUUACAUCGCAUUGCUAGAGGCGUUACCACAGACCCGGGUUAAUUCUCGGGCUGUGCCCUAACCGGCCGCGGCCGGGAUUCCCAUAGGACGGCGCACAAUUGGCCCAGCAUCGUCUUGGCUCAUCGCUAUCUAACAACUCCUUGUGGCGGGCCUGGUGCCUGCAGGCUGACCUCGGUAGCCAGUUGAACUUUCCUCCGACACAUUGGUGCGGCUGCCUUCCGCGUUAAGCUGGCGUUAAGCUGGCGGAUGUUAAGGAGCGCGGUAGGGCGGGUCAUGUUUCGGAGGAUGCAUUACUCCACUUUUUCCUCUCCUGAGCACUUUGGGGAGUUGCAGCGAUGAGACAAGAUCUAACACAUACGCAUACCCACAGAUGUUGUUAAUGUACCAGCCAUAUUAAAACCAACUAUUUGUCACGACUUCCUCCAAAGUCGGUCCCUCUCCUUGU